GAGCAUUCCAAGGAAAACGCACGAAGCUGGAGCCCACGCAGCUGGCACCGAACUGGGCGGAGUGAGGAUGCUCUGAGAGUGAUGCCGCGCGAGGCGGGGGAGGGGAGGGCCUGGGGCGAGGGGGAGGUGAGCGCCAGGGGAGGAGAACCUCGCCCACCCCCGGCCCUUAAGGACCCCUCCGGGUAAAGUUAGCGUUCCCACGGCUGUCAGCCGACGAACCAAGAGGAAGGCACCCCUCCCUGCAUCUCCGGUGGCGGCCUGACUCCGGGUCAGCGCAGCCCGGGUUCAGAGGGGACCACUCGGAAAGAUGCGCGUCCCACGCGCCGCUCUGCGCGGCGGUGGAGGUGGACCGGCGCGAGGGCAGGACCCGGGGAAGAGCCUCCGCCGCCCCGGGGCCAGAUGUUUGGGGUCAGCCCGUUGGGCAGGCGAGCUCACACAAGCCAACGGUGAUCCAGUCCAGUCGGUGGCCGGUACCCCACCCUGUGACCGUGGAGGCGAGCCAGACACACCUCCAGGCUCCCGGCGGGCUCACCCCCCAGGCUGUCCGACUUCAGUUCGCGUCAGAACCCGGCCGGUGAUCACCCUGCUCCCACCCAAGUAAACAAGCCCCGCGCGGCAGGUCCCCCGACUUGAAAAAGUAGCCCUCCACCCUCCUCACCCGGUAACUCACAAAGCUUCUCCCUCUCCGGCUCCCGGGGGUCCCGGCACCCCCUCUCGCGUCCUCAAGGUGUCAGACUUCCCCUGCAAGAACAGGCGUCUGUGACUCGCUACUAGUGUCCACAAUGGAGACAGUCGCAAUGAAUAAAUGACGAGGCGGCGUUCCACCCACCCUCAGUCCAGCUCGCUCUUUCCAACGAAAUCAACCUUCCCAGGUGAUGCAGUGGUAAAGGAAUCCAGAUGCCAGUGGAGGAGACUCAAGAGAUGUGGAUUCAAUCCCUGGGUCAGGAAGAUCUCCUGGAGGAGGAAAUGGCAACCCUUCCGGUAGACUUGCCUGGAAAAUUCCAUGGACAGAGGGAACCUGGUGGGCUACAGCCCAUGGGAUCACAAAGAGUUGAACAGGAUUGAGCACAAUUGAUUGAAAUGUUGAAACAGGCAGGUAACUUGAAGAACGGAACCAUCGCUGACAGCCUUGCCCAGAGUUCCCUGGAGUCUUUCCUGGUACACAGGAGAUGUUCAGUAACCACUACUGACCGUGACAUUAGGCUGCUAGACCAGCGGCAGACUGGACACACAGUGGUGACUCUGCCUGACUUUGAAGAUGACAGAGCUAAGCUGCAGAUGCUUCCGUUCACACAAGAACCACAUUCUGAGAACUCAUAAAGCGGUUGUAUGCUUCCUAAUCAAGUCGUAUUUCAAGUAUAUCAAAGUAAUGGCCAAAGUAUCUGUUGUUGAUGAGCAUCAGACUGUAUUCAGCUCCAUCUGCACUGCCUUGAACCCCUGAAGAUCAUUGGAAUUGGAUACCCUAAAGAUAGAAAUCCUGACGUUUCUUAAGACCAACUUCACUCCUAUUCUUCAGAGUUAACUAAUGGAGAGUUAAAAUCACCCCCUUCAUUUUGGACUAAAACUGGCUUGAAUCAUAUUGUACUUGUACAUGAAAAAAAGAAUUGUGACAACAUUGUAUUUUGAAGGCGGCACUUGUGGUAAAGAACCCCCUGCCAAUGAUGAAGACAUAAGAGACAUGGGCUGGAUCCCUGGGUCAGGAAGAUCCCCUGGAGGAGAGCAUGGCAACCCACUCCAUUCUUGCCUGGAGAAUCCCCAUGGACAGAGAAGCCUGUAGGCUACAGUCCAUAGCGUCACAAAGAGUUGGACAUGACUGAAAGAACCUAGCUCCCAUGCAUGUAAAUUUUUUCUACACCUUCAUCAUCUGUUAAAUGUCAGCCCCUCUUUAGAGUUCUUGAAGCUGACACUAGUGGGGAGAUACUAGAGAAGAAGAAUGGGGAGGCAUGAUACAUUUAAUAGUUACUUGUGGUAGCUCCUCAAUUGCUCUAUCAUGUCUACCAUAACAUGCCCAAGCCCUAGGAUGAUGUGCUAUGCACAAAUAAGUACAAAAAAAAUGCUUACUAGCCUGCUUGGCUAUAAUCUAUCAAAGUCUUAACUGGUGUUCUUCCUUCUGGUUUCACCUUCUGUUUCCCUGCCCAACCUGUUUAAGAAAGUCAUGCCAAUGAAGUGAUAUUUCUGCUUAGAAUUUAUCAUCCCUAAACUUAUACACAAGCUGGAAUCAAGAUUGCCAGGAGAAAUAUCAAUAACCUCAGAUGACAGAUGACACCACCCUUAUGGCAGAAAGUGAAGAGGAACUAAAGAGCUUCUUGAUGAAAGUGAAAGAGGACAGUGGAAAAAUUGGCUUAAAGCUCAGCAUUCAGAAAACUAAGAUCAUGGCAUCUG
ensembl:lncRNA